UACGGAGGGUGCAAGCGUUGCUCGGAAUUAUUGGGCGUAAAGGGUAGGUAGGUGGUCUUAUUUGUCUGGGGUGAAAUCCUUGAGCUUAACUCAAGAAGUGCCCCAGAAACGGUGAGACUAGAGUCCUGGAGAGGGUCGUGGAAUUCCCGGUGUAGCGGUGGAAUGCGCAGAUAUCAGGAAGAACACCAACGGCGAAGGCAGCUCGCUGGACGGUACUGACGCUGAGACGCGAAAGCGUGGGGAGCGAACAGG
rnacentral:rRNA from 1 species